AGUGCAAUUACUGGAUCAUAUUGUGAGCCUGUGUUUAGCUUUGGAGGAAACUGCCAAAUUGUCUUCCAAAGUAGCUCCACCAUUUUGCAUUCUCACCAGCAAU
rnacentral:pre_miRNA from 1 species